rnacentral:lncRNA from 1 species
AGCAAUAAGUGGUAACAAUUACAUGAUAUAAAAAGUAGAUAUUUCACGAUGCUGCAAAAUCACAUAGAAUGUUACAAUAACAUUAGAUCAAAAAUCAAGCAACAAUCAACAUAUUGGAUCACAGUAAGAGUGUCUAUAUUUGACUUUUAGAAGCAAAAGUUAAUCACUCCAAUCAUUGUUAUACAACUGGCUAUGCUCUUAUGUUUAAGGAUUUCUAUGUGAUA